rnacentral:misc_RNA from 1 species
GAUGAAGAACGUAGCGAAAUGCGAUACUUGGUGUGAAUUGCAGAAUCACGUGAACCAUCGAGUCUUUGAACGCAAGUUGCGCCUCAAGCCAUUAGGUUGAGGGCACGUCUGCCUGGGCGUCACAUAUCGUUGCCUGAUGCCAGUUUCCUCGUGAUGGGUGACUGUGCAGGGCGAAUGAUGGCUUCCCGUGAGCAUUGUUGCCUCAUGGUUGGUUGAAAAUUGAGUCCUUGGUAGGGAGCGCCGUGAUAGAUGGUGGUUGAGUGACGAACGAGACCCAAUCAUGUGAGACCCCUACCGAAUUUGGCCUUCAUGACCCACAUGCGUCUUUGGAACGCUCAUGACGAGACCUCAGGUCAGGCGGGGCUACCCGCUGAGUUUAAGCAUAUCAAUAAGCGGAGGA